GUUUUGUCUGAUCUUUGCUUUAAUCUUCUUUAAUUUUUUUCUAAUUUCUCAAUAUAUAGAGAAGUGAAGAGCUUCAGAAAGUUUGUUAUGCAUGAAUGUAGUUGUGAAAUUGAGGUAUAUAAGGAUGAACAAAUAGAUUUUUUAAUCUACUUUCUGUAUUUGUUUUUCCUGUUUUGUGGUAGAUUUUCUUCUUCUUAUCUUGUCUUUGACUAUUUUGCGUUGAUUUCAUUUAGUUUUUUCAUUAUAGUCGCUUGAGAAGAGCGACUUUAUUGACCCGAAAGUUUAACAUGGCUUUUUGCCUUCAUGUAUUUGAGAAAAUUCCUCAACAAAUCAGGGUUUUCAUUAGAUUUCUAUUACAUAUUUUCUUGUUAAUUUGUUGCUUCUCUCAUGCCUUUGAGUAGCAUAGCAAAAAUUUAAGUAAAUUCGUCUUACAAUUAAAUUUAUCAUGUAUUUUCAUGGCUUUUCGAUUUUGUAUUUGAUUGGGAGAAGUCUUUAAUGAACCAUAAAAAAUGCACCUUUAGUCUAUCAGUAGCUUCCAAUAGGUUUCCUCUAAAGGUCGUUUUCUCUUCUGCUCGUAAGCGUUUGGAUAAUACUAACAAACAUUUUAUAAUUUGUCAGAGUAGAUGAUACUUGAUUUCUCUUCUUCAUUUACCACAAUUUAAGAGGAUUAUUAACAAAGAUAUAGGUUAGUUAUAUUGACAAAGAUAAUUAUAACAGAAGCUGUAGCAUAUAGAGUUAUGGAAAGGUGUUUGUUGGUCUUAUAGAGUUGUUUUUUUAACUAAGAAGUUCAUAUAGUCUUCUAUUAUGUUUUGUCAUCGCUGCAUAGAUGACUCACCGGUAAAGUCUCUUUAUUUACAUGACAGAUUUAGAGGACAUGGAACUGCAGACUGUUUUUUUUUUUUUUUACUUUAAAGCAAAUGAAGGCUGUCACUAGGCGUUCUCUAUAUUCGAACCUUGGACUCCAAUAAUUGAAUUUCGUGUUGUGGGUAUUUUAUAUCUAUCUGUGUGUAUUGAAUUGACCGAAAAUUUGAACUAAAAGUUGCUUUUGGAGUAGUGAAAAUGUGGUUAAAAUUAAGGUGAAGGAAUCUAGAUUGUAGGUCAAGUGCUUGAUGAAGGUAACGCCAGGGCUUUCAUUUGAUUGUCCAGAAAAACAUGAAUUUUCCGAUGGAAAUUUACUCUCGACAUCUACUUCUCGGUAAUCUCUAUAAAGUUUGAUCAUUGAGCUACACAUCUAAAGUUGUGCUGAAUGAUUAGAAUGAUGGAAAAGUUUAGAAUUUCAUUGUCCCUCCACCCUCUUAUUCUGCGAAAAAUUGGUGUGUUAUGCGUUAGAUGAUUUCACGAUAAACUAUGCUAACGACUACAAGUCAAAUCUUUGAUGGAAAGAUUAAUAUACCCAAGUUAUAUAACUUUGAUCUUGAUAUUCAACGCCACACUAAGGUAAGAAGACGCGAGAGGUUGACGAUAGUGUAGUAUUUAAAGAGGAAUAGAGAGGAGAAUAGAGGUCUCCUCUGCUUCUCCGACUUCUUCAGCAGCUGCUGAAGGUAAUAGUUCUUUCAAUGUCUCAUGAUUUUCCCUUAAUCAGUAUUCCCAUCUUUAGUUCAUGUUAUUUUUCAUAUAUUUCUCUUUUUCUUCUUUUGAUUGUCUUUGAUUUUUGUUAUUUCUAAUUUUGUUGUAGAGGAUUUAAUAAAGCUCUGUUGUGUCUUUUCUUUUGAUCAGAUAUAGUUACUUUCUCCUUGGCGACGAAUCGGUUGUCAACUCCUCAAACUAAUAGCUAUUGGAAUUAAUUCCUUAGAAUUCUAAAGUUAGUUUCGAGCUAUGAAAAAAUUCAGGACAAUUUUUAUUUUGUUGAUGGCGCUUGUCGGGGUAUUUUAUCCUUACAAAAGAGGAGCUCUAUAUACUGCCUUGCUGGUUAUAUAUGCACUCACUUUUGGCGUUGCCGGAUACACUUCAACCUCUUUCUAUUGUCAGCUCGAAGGAACUAAUUGGGUAAAGAAUCUGGUAUGGACCGGGUGCCUCUUCUGUGUCCCUCUCGCAUUAACAUUCUGCUUCCUCAAUUCGGUUGCAGUUAGUUAUAGUUCUACUGCUGCGCUACCAUUUGGUACAAUUAUGUUAAUAGUACUCAUGUGGACAUUAGUGACAUCGACACUACUUGUAUUAGGCGGAAUUGCUGUCAAAAAUAGCAGUACGGGCUUCCAAUUUCCAUGUCGGACCACAAAGAAUCCGAGAGAAAUUCCAGUACUCCCUUGGUACCAUAGUACCAUCCCUCAGAUGGUGAUGACAGGAUUCUUACCGUUUAAUGCCAUAUACAUCGAGUUCUAUUACAUAUUCGAAAGUGUAUGGGGUCAAAAGAUUUACACAAUUUACAGAAUAUUGUUUAUAGUCUUCAUUCUUCUGCUGAUAGUAACCGCCAUUGUCACUGUUGCAUCAACUUAUUUCCAACUUGCCACAGAAGAUCAUAAAUGGUGGUGGAGGUCAUUUCUCUGUGGUGGACUCUUCAAAAAUGUUGACAUAUACAUGUCGUGUCCUCUAGAAGUAGUGCAUUUUUGGAGGAUCUGACAUGGCCGCAACAACAUAGCUUGCAGUUAUAACCAAACAAAGUUGAAGGGGAGCCUUGGAGUAACUGGUAAAGUUGCUGCCAUGUGACCAGGAGGUCACGGGUUCAAGCCUUGGAAACAGCCUCUGGCAAAAAUGCAAGGUAAGGCUGCGUACGAUACACCCUUGUGGUGGGGCCCUUCCCCGGACACCGUGCAUAGCGGUAGCUUUAGUGCACCGGGCUGCCCUUUUUUUAGUUAUAACCAAAGUAAGUAAAUUUUCUGGUGUUAUAUAUUGGAUAAUAGCAACCGAAAUAGGACUCUUAACGACCAAAUUUUCCCUUGCUAAAAGCCUUAUUUCUUGUAGCUUUACUUACAUCGUCGCAGGUCAUUUAUCUGUGGCGGACUCGUCAAAAAUGUUGUCAGAUACAUGUCGUCUCCUCUAGAAGUAGUGCAUUUUUAGAGGAUCUGACAUGAGUGCAACAACAUUUUUGGAGAAACCGAGCAAUAUAUAGCUUGCAGUUAUAACCAUACAAAGUUCAUUUUCUGGUGUUGUAUAUUGGCUAACAGCAACCAAAAUAGGACUCUUAACGACCAAAUUUUCCCUCGCUAAAAACCUUGUUUCUUGCAGUUUUACUUACAUCGUCGCAGGUCAUUUCUCUGUGGCGGACUCUUCAAAAAUGUUGUCAGGUACAUGUCGUCUCCUCUAGAAGUAGUGCAUUAAAAUUUUUUGGACUGAAAAGAGAGUUGGUGACGAUCAAGGACAGAUUUGGAAUUUCACUUCUAUCUUAAUAGUUAAGAGUAUUUUUAAUAUUUCAUACAACAAUAUAUCUAUACAUACUCUAGCACAUGUGGAGGGUGUUUGGUGAUCCAGUUUUUAAAUUCUGAUUGGAACUAUUAAAAGGGGUAUGAAGGAGGUUAUGUACUAUUCCCAAGAGCUGAUACUUGCUAAGAAGAUAGGAAAAAUGAACAUCCUAGCACCAAAAAUUCAACUUCUUAUUCCUGGGAAUAGUCAGCAAACUACAACCUUUUUGGAUUUAAUGCACUUCUAGUGACUAGAGCGCUCUCUCUCUCUCUCUCUCUCUAAAAUAAUGAUAUGUUUAUCUAUCAGAGAAGGCUAUAUCUUUUUCUUGUUAAACUAAUUUGGUGUGAAUGUUCGUGUAUUUUCUAAUGUCCAGAUGUACUAAAAGCAUGCCACUUCGGAGGUAGCUGGUCCCUUUGGCAUCCUUGAGUGAUCUGCUUAUUAAUUUAAUUGGUUGGUAACAGAUGCAUAUAUAUAUAUAUCUAUGGAUAGUUUGGGAAGGAUUCCAACUACAUUAUAGAUGUGAUGUAACAAUAUUUACUUGGAAUAGAUAAAGGGCACGUUCAUACAUAUAAACCUGAGUUCAUUUGUUUGUUGGGAUUGUGAUUUUGGCCAGUGUAUGUGGCAUGGAAUUGGUUUGGGAUAUGCUCAUUAAUGAAAGGGAUCCUUAAUGAAAGUUGCAAACUACUAUGUGAAUGCUUAAUUAACUUGGAAAUUUCUGUGAAAGCUCCCUUGUACUUGAUGCCUUUCCCGCCUUUACUGAUGUUAAAAUGUGCACUAUGUUGUUUCGUGUGCAUGUGGAAUUUCUAUAAUACUAUGCCUGAUGGUUGAAUCGUUGUUGUGUCUUGUACGUAAUUAUAGUUCCUUAACCACUAUGGGUAAUUAACUCUUAUCACUUGAUGACUAAAUACAGUAUGACUGUAAUAGUAGUCAAAGUGCUGAUUUAUUUGCCUGGAAUGAUUCUUCUUGCAUACUUUAGGUUCCUUGUCUGUAACUUCUGCUGUGGUUAUUGUUUAUUGUACAGUGUCAGGCAGUUAGUCCAACACCAGUUAUGCCAUCUGGAAGACGCAUCAAAAGCGCCGAAGAACAUGAAUGGAAAAAAAUUCAGCGGUGAACAGAUUCGUGUAGAUUAUCUCAGGAGCAAGGACCGGAGUUCAGGGAAAUGAGGGAUGGACUGUAUCCCAAUAGGAGCAUUGGCUAUCCUGACACUCAGCAUAUGCCUCAAGAUUUUGUAAGGAACUACUCUGAUCCUAUGCAGGGUGGUCUCCUUGGGUGCCUCCUCAAUCAUGUCCUCCACAAGGUCCUCAGGCUCUAUAAUCUCAUUAACGAGAAGGGAAAAUUUUGUAAGCUGCUUCUUGCUCUUAACUAUUUCCCUCUGCACCUUCAUUUGCAUGUUUGGACUUCCUUUUCUUGCUAAAUGCAAGUCAUCCCUAUCAGUCUUGUCCUGGCACUGGACUGAGAGGAAACUACAAACAUUUCAACUGCCCAAAUGGUUACUACAUAGAUCUGGCCACUCUGAUCCUUACAACAAAGGAGGACGCGAUCAGAAACAUUAAAGUUGAUUGAUCACACUAUGAAAAAAUGGAUAUGCUAUUGUAGAAUUUAUAAAUAGCCUAUGUACCAAUGUAAAUAGGCAACAAUCAAUAUGAUAUGUGAAUGUCUUGCGAGCAUUCAGUAGUAUGAUAUUUCUAUGGUUUUAUAAAACAUACAUUUGAGAUCUUAUGAUAUGUUCAUUGUGAUGAUAUUGUUAAAUAUUCAAAUGUAUUUAUAUAUGCGACAGUUAGUUUA